CAACUUUCUCCUGGAAUUUCCCCAAAGCCACUGUUGGUUGACUAGGUGAGGCCCCCUCCUGGCCUGGGACUCAGGAUCCCGCCUGGGGGGUGACAGCUACUCCGGAAGAGGAGGGCGGCAGGAGAGCCCGGCCCCAGCUUCCUCCUGGUGGGGCACAGGAUGCUGGGGGAGGAUUUCGUGGGCCUCAGGAGAAGCAGCUCCUUGCCAGCGCACCGGAGGGGACCUGACGCUAGCAGGCACCUCCCACAUCGUGUCCUCUCCAGGAGCCAUGAGACACAUCCAUCCCUUCUUGCUGGCCGUCCUGCUGUGCUCGGAGUGUGGAAAUCGGGUGAAGUACCAGCAGAAGGGGUGUGCCCCCUCCUGUGAGGAAGUCUCCCGCAUACUGCAGCAGCUUUCCCAGAGCAGCGGCCCCGGCAAUCUGGGCCUGCUGGGCCUAACGAAGCUUGAAGUGCAGGGUUUGAGGUGCUGUGAAAGGGACCUCUGUAAUGGGGGCACACUGCCCCUGGGCCCUGGCGGGGGGCUCCUGCUCAGCCUAGGGCUCAUCUUCCUCUGGGCCCUGCUGUGAGCAGCCCUGACUCCAGCACAGAAAGCAGGGCGUCGUCCUGAACAGAGUCACGCAGCAGGCACGUGAAGCAAGCUCGCUGUCCCACCCUUGCACACGCACACGCGCACACACACACACACACACACA
rnacentral:lncRNA from 1 species